rnacentral:misc_RNA from 1 species
GAUGAAGAACGUAGCAAAAUGCGAUAAGUAAUGUGAAUUGCAGAAUUCAGUGAAUCAUCGAAUCUUUGAACGCGCAUUGCGGCCGCCAGUAUUCUGGCGGGCAUGCCUGUUCGAGCGUCAUUUCAACCCUCAAGCACAGCUUGGUGUUGGGACUCGCGUUAAUUCGCGUUCCCCAAAUUGAUUGGCGGUCACGUCGAGCUUCCAUAGCGUAGUAGUAAAACCCUCGUUACUGGUAAUCGUCGCGGCCACGCCGUUAAACCCCAACUUCUGAAUGUUGACCUCGGAUCAGGUAGGAAUACCCGCUGAACUUAAGCAUAUCAAUAAGCGGAGGA